rnacentral:ncRNA from 1 species
CUGGUUGAUCCUGCCAGUAGUCAUAUGCUUGUCUCAGAGAUUAAGCCAUGCAUGUCAAAGUGCAUACCUUAAAACGGUGAAACCGCGAAUGGCUCAUUAAAUCAGCUAAGGUUCCUUAGAUCGUAAACGCUACAUGGAUAAAUCUCUUUCCGCAACCAUCUGAAUCAUGACCACAAAAUAUUCACUACACAUCAUGCCAACUAUCUUGAGCACUCUACACCAUACAGAAAAAGUCCGUGAAAAGAUCAUUUGGAACAGUAAUGAACAUUGGGUUGUAUGAGUUAAUGUCACGUAACCCUAAGAGCAUGUGGUUUAUUUAUGUAGUAAUUCAUACUGAAUACUUGCAACACACUACUUAUUAACAAUACGUAAAACACACAAGUAGGCUUAACGAGACACUAUAUCAAAUACCUCAUAAUCUGAAUCAUACUGUUACUGACUACAAUAACCAGUUCAUACUACCACAUACACAGAUAUGUUUUUCUCUGUCAAUUAGAUAUAGAUCAACGGCUUGGAACGGACAAUGUAUCAUUGAAAUUAAAUCUGAUGUUCAAGUGUUCACGUAAUUAUGCAACAACCAUUUGUCCCAACACAGACUGUGAUACAGAAGGGGACGACACUUUGAAUAACGUCGACAUCCUUCUAAAGUAAAAAAGAACACCUCUAAUAUAAGAAGAAAAAAAAACUGGAAAUCAAUUCUUUCCAUGUGUAAUAAUAAUUCUAUUAUAUUUCAAGUACUAUUUUGUGUCGUGUUCAAGAAAUCGUUUUCAAUUUUCUACAGCUCACUUUCAAUGAAAUGCAUUGCAGUUCUCUUAUUACAAUCUUAAGAGGCAUCAAUUUACAUAACUGAACACAUUCAGUUCGACUUCAACUUGUUCAAUGGGAAAAUAAUUAUCUAUUUUAAUAUGGACACCUUUUAACAGUCACGGGUACGAAUGGUGGUCAAAUAGAAUGGAUGUGGCUUUGCUAAUAAGUUAUAAUUUCGUAUUAAACUACGAUGAAAUCAUCUCACAGAAUUUGUUGAAUAAAGCAAUAUUCAUGAGUAAAAAAUAUGCUGUGAAUUAUGAGAUAUAUAUUAGAAAGAUAAAUUAAAUAAAAAAGAAUGAACCAAAUCGGCCGAGCUGUUCAAAAGUCAUGAUCGGAUGACGGAUGAUGACGGAUCUUUCAAAUGUCUGCCCUAUCAAUUUGUUGGUAGGUGAUUUGCCUGUUACAUUCUGUGAUGACUCGGGAUAACUUUACUGAUCGCAGUCGGCCAUGUGUCAGCGACGGAUCUUUCAAAUGUCUGCCCUAUCAAUUUGUUGGUAGGUGAUUUGCCUGUCAUGAUGAUAACGGGUAACAGGGAAUCAGAGUUCGAUUCCAGAGAAGGAGCCUGAGAAAUGGCUACCCCAUCCAAGGACGGCAGCAGGCGCGAAAAUUACUCACUCCCGGCACGGGGAGGUAGUUAUGCGGAAAAGUGUGUUCA